rnacentral:misc_RNA from 1 species
GAUGAAGAACGCAGCGAAAUGCGAUAAGUAAUGUGAAUUGCAGAAUUCAGUGAAUCAUCGAAUCUUUGAACGCACAUUGCGCCCGCCAGCAUUCUGGCGGGCAUGCCUGUUCGAGCGUCAUUUCAACCCUCGAGCCCCCCCGGGGGCCUCGGUGUUGGGGGACGGCACACCAGCCGCCCCCGAAAUGCAGUGGCGACCUCGCCGCAGCCUCCCCUGCGUAGUAGCACACACCUCGCACCGGAGCGCGGAGACGGUCACGCCGUAAAACGCCCAACUUCUUAGAGUUGACCUCGGAUCAGGUAGGAAUACCCGCUGAACUUAUGCAUAUCAAUAAGCGGAGGA